rnacentral:rRNA from 1 species
GGAAGGAUCAUUACCGAACUGUCAACAGGAGUUGUUGCUGGUCCUCAUGUGGGGGCAUGUGCACGCUCUGUUUACACAUCCACUCACACCUGUGCACUCGCCGUAGUUCUAUGGUCUGGGAGACCCUGUCUUCCACCUGUAGGCCUACUUUUUUACAUACACGCUGUAACAAAGUCUUAUGGAAUGUGUUCUGCGUUUAACGCAAUACAGUACAACUUUCAGCAACGGAUCUCUUGGCUCUCGCAUCGAUGAAGAACGCAGCGAAAUGCGAUAAGUAAUGUGAAUUGCAGAAUUCAGUGAAUCAUCGAAUCUUUGAACGCACCUUGCGCCCCUUGGCUAUUCCAAAGGGCAUGCCUGUUUGAGUACCGUGAACACCUCAACUCUCAUGGCUUUGCCGUGAUGAGCUUGGACUUUGGGGGUUUUGCUGGCCUUGAGGUCGGCUCCUCUCAAAUGGAUCAGCUUGCCAGUGUUUGGUGGCGUUGCAGGUGUGAUAACUAUCUACGCUUGCAGCCGUCUGCCAGGUAACCCUCAGGGAUGGGGGUUCGCUGGAGCUUACAAAUGUCCUUCCCCAGUGAGGACAGCUUUGAACGUUCGAUCUCAAAUCAGGUAGGACUACCCGCUGAACUUAAGCAUAUCAAUAAGCGGAGGAAAAGAAACUAACAAGGAUUCCCCUAGUAACUGCGAGUGAAGCGGGAUGAGCUCAAAUUUAAAAUCUGGCGUCCUCUGGCCGUCC